rnacentral:ncRNA from 1 species
AUUGGAACACCGUCAGAAACCUCACUCAGCCUGGACACAGACAGGAUUGACAGAUUGAGAACUCUUUCUCAGUUCCGUGAGUGGUGGUGCCUGGCCAUUCUUGGUGGAGUGAUUUGUCUGGUUAAUUCCAAUAACAAACAAGACUCUGGCAUGCUGACUAGUUAUGAGAUCCAUUCCCCGCCAUGGUCAAUGUCCAACUUCUUCAAGGGACAAACAGCAUUCAACAACAUGAGAUAGAGCAAUAAUAGAUGUAUGAUGACCUUUACUGUGAGACU